UACAUGGGGUGCAAACGUUGCUCGGAAUCAUUGGGCGUAAAGCGCGCGUAGGCGGUUACUUAAGUUGGAUGUGAAAGCCCUCGGCUUAACUGAGGAAGUGCAUCCAAAACUGAGUAGCUAGAGUACGAAAGAGGGUCGCGGAAUUCCCGGUGUAGAGGUGAAAUUCGUAGAUAUCGGGAGGAACACCGGUGGCGAAGGCGGCGACCUGGGUCGAGACUGACGCUGAGGUGCGAGAGCGUGGGGAGCGAACCGG
rnacentral:rRNA from 1 species